UGUCUGUAUUGGCUCCAAACUGGAAACAACCUAAUGUUCAUAAAUAAGAGAAUGGAUUAAACCAACAGUGAUAUAUCCAUACAGGGCAAUAUUUCUCAAAAUAAAAAGGAACAAACUAUAGAUACUCACAACAAUAGGAAUGGAUCUCAACAUAAUUAUCCUAAGUGAAAGAAGCCAAAGAGAAAAGAAUACGUACUUGAUACUAUUUACAUAAAUUGCAAAAUAAUCUUUAGUAACAGAAAUCAGACUGGGUGGCUGCUUGAGUCUGGGGAGGGAGCCAUGGACUACAAGAGGAACAUCAGGAAACUUUGGAGGGCAGGGGAUGUGUUUAACAAUCUUGUUUGUGCUGAUGCUUUCAUUGAUAUGUCAAAACUCACUGAACUUUACACUUUAAAUUUGUGCCAUCAUUUGUAUGUCAUUUGUACAUCCAUGAAGCUGUGAAGAAAGAAGCACAGAGUGAUAAUUUUAAGCAGAGUCCCCCCAGCAGGCUUAAUAUCAGUGUGCUGAUAUUAGGAAGCCGGUGGUGCCGUGGGAGGUCCAUGCUCCUGGUCCCACUGCUGGAGCCUCCGUGAAGCACCAGGUGAGCUGUGCUCUCAACAAGGGUCCUGGGAAUUCUCAAGCUUGGGGCAGUUGGAAAGCCCUGGUACCCACUGAGUGGCAGCUCUUAUCUUGACCAAACUAUCAUCAGGUGAAUCCAAAUGAAACAACUACCAUUAAUAUCCCAAGGGGAAAACAAAUGAUCAUUUGUUUUAUUUAUACCACAUUAUCCUUAACCAUCCUAUAACAAGUGUCUGUCACCUGUCUCUCCUGUAAGAAGUUUUUUAGUCCCCUGACAUCUUAUAUCAUUGGAUGAACUGGGAGAAAACUAAGCUGAUGAAUGAAAUAGUUCUCUAUAGAAUCCAUGCUAUUGCAAUGAUCCAAUCAAGAUCCUGUCUCCUAUAAAAGAAACACAAAGAGCUCUGUUUAGCAUUUCACCCUGAAGGGUGUUUGCUGAUUUCUGUUGAGAAAGAGCUGCUUUUAAUACCAGGUGGAUCCUGAGACAGCAGGCAGCCCAUCUGUCUGAUAAGACAUCAAUCAAAACAGGAGUUAUCUGCUGACUCUUCCUCAACUCUGCCCUCCCAAGUGGCCCUGGGAAGCCUGGUGAACUCAAGACUCCUCUUCAGUCCACUCAG